CACAUUUCUAAACUUGUUGAAUGAGCAAGAGUUUGACUAUUCAAAAAAUGUAUAAGCUCAUAGUUUUUGUAACCAUUUUAAACUGCAUAUUUUGCAUGGGAAAUGGGGAGUGUAUCUGUCCGAAUCGAAAUCUUGCCAAACCAUUCCUCAUGUGUGGCCAUGAAAUUAAGAAGUUUUACCCUCACACGUCUUGCGGAAUGCAGGUCGUUUAUGAGUGCGAGGAAAAUAGGACUAAUCUUGACCACAAAUGCGAAACCAGAGAAGCUUUCUGUGGAGUAGACCCUUACGAUUAUUGCGCGUCAUAUGGCAAAGAUUCACCAAAUUGUAUCAGGCAUAAAAGAGUCCGAGCAUGUUUUAACUUUGGUAAUAAAAGAGAAACUUAUAACAAGUUCAUGCAGCAAAUGAAAUCUUCUGAUUUCUACUGAAUCGCAAAAAAUUUGUUUACUGUGUUCAAACCUGUGUAAUAUCGCUGAUGAUCUGACAGUGGAACAUGACAGAAAAAUGGUAAUUGUUGUAACAAAAUAAAAAUCGAAAGUACUAAAUUUGAAAGUAGUAUUAGUUAAUCGUCAAAUGUCAACCCUUAAUUAAAUUAUGAUCAAUGUCAAAUUGCACAAACAAUUAAGUUAUUACUCUGCUGUAAAUAAACUAAAUCUAGGCCCACAA